rnacentral:misc_RNA from 1 species
GUGAAUCAUCGAAUUUUUGAACGCAAAUUGCACUCUCUGGUAUUCCGGAGAGUAUGCCUGUUUGAGGGUCAUUUUAAAUAAAAAUCGAUGUGGUUGCUGCCUUUCGUGUGGUGGCACCGAAGUUGGGUCGUCUUGCCGUCUGUUAAGUGGGCUAGAAUUUUACAUGAUUUUUUUCGAAGGUGUUUAAAUGAUUGUAAGUGCGUUUGCGAUAUAGAAUACUAAUAGUG